rnacentral:rRNA from 1 species
GAAUAUUGCACAAUGGGCGAAAGCCUGAUGCAGCGACGCCGCGUGGAGGAUGAAGGUCUUCGGAUUGUAAACUCCUGUUAAGUGGGAAAAAAGGCCUGUUGUUAAUAGCAGCGGGAGAUGAUGGUACCACUAGAGAAAGCACCGGCUAACUUCGUGCCAGCAGCCGCGGUAAUACGAGGGGUGCAAACGUUAUUCGGAAUCACUGGGCGUAAAGGGUGCGUAGACGGCAUGACAAGUCGAUUAUAAAAUCUCCUGGCUUAACCAGGAGCUUGUGGUCGAAACUGUCUUGCUUGAGGAUGGAAGAGAGAAGUGGAAUUCUCGGAGUAGCGGUAAAAUGCGUAGAUCUCGAGAGGAACACCGAUGGCGAAGGCAGCUUCUUGGUCCAUAUCUGACGUUGAGGCACGAAAGCGUGGGGAGCAAACAGGAUUAGAUACCCUUGUAGUC